rnacentral:rRNA from 1 species
CCUACGGGGAGCAGCAGUAGGGAAUCUUCCACAAUGGGCGAAAGCCUGAUGGAGCAACGCCGCGUGGGUGAAGAAGGUCUUCGGAUCGUAAAACCCUGUUGUUAGAGAAGAAAGUGCGUGAGAGUAACUGUUCACGUUUCGACGGUAUCUAACCAGACAGCCACGGCUAACUACGUGCCAGCAGCCGCGGUAAUACGUAGGUGGCAAGCGUUAUCCGGAUUUAUUGGGCGUAAAGGGAACGCAGGCGGUCUUUUAAGUCUGAUGUGAAAGCCUUCGGCUUAACCGGAGUAGUGCAUUGGAAACUGGGAGACUGGAGUGCAGAAGAGGAGAGUGGAACUCCAUGUGUAGCGGUGAAAUGCGUAGAUAUAUGGAAGAACACCAGUGGCGAAAGCGGCUCUCUGGUCUGUAACUGACGCUGAGGUUCGAAAGCGUGGGUAGCAAACAGGAUUAGAUACCCGGGUAGUC